ensembl:lncRNA
GGAUGAACCAGGCUUGUGGAGGUCUACGCUUUCCUUUGAUUUUCCCAUGAUGUCAAGCAAAGAGGCACUGAGUUUGAAGGAACAAAACAGCUUUGUAAUCUAAGUUCAAUGAUCAUGGAUAUGCUAUCUGUCUUCAUGGUGAUGACUCUCGUAGGAAAAUGUCAAGGGAACACUUAUCUAAAUUAUCAAGAGAAAGAGGAAGCUAUAUCCCUACAAUGUGAAGAGAGAAUUUGGCAACUUGAUCUAGAUGAAGACAACAUAGUGGAUUGCACUUUUAAUUGCAGUCUUCAUGACAAUGAGAAGAAAUGUGGCCAAGAUCCGAAGUGCAAUAAUACAGCAUUUACAUUGAAAAAAACCCUGCAAAAACAGUAUCAAACAAUGUUUAAAUAUGAAAUUGGAGAAACACGUCACUGGAUUCUUUGCAUGUUUUCAUACCUUUCCAUCAAAUGACCAACACUUAUUCCCCUUUAAACCUUCAAAAGAUCAGGUGGAAUCAUUUAUUGUGGCAUUUGUUGAACCAAAGAGUAAGUUCACAUUUCCUAACUUUCACAAUUUCUAAAUGAUAUACAACUCACAUUACAGUAUACUGUACAAUAUAUUGUAUAUAGACAUAUCUGUUUAUGAAAAUAUUUAACAUCAAAUUAUGUUCUGUUUCUGUAGUGGUGAUAUGCUACCCUGGUGUGGAAACUAAAACAUCUGUUACCAAACAGCAUGGAGAAUCAGUCAACCUUGCAUGUAAUUUCACAGUAGCCAAAGGUUACUCUAGCUUUCCAUUUUCAGUGUAUUGGAUCAAAACCAUCAGUGGCAACAGUAGCACAUGUCUUUAUUCUAAUUCUUAUGAUAGUGAUGCACAAUUAUAUGACCACCAUUGUCUCAUUGAUGAGGCCCUGCUGAAACGAAGGUCAAACACUUCAUCUAAACCCCUAACAAGCCCUAUCUUUCAUAACCUUAAGAUCAGCAAUGCCACAUAUUCAGACAGCGGACAGUAUGUUUGUGCCUUACAGGUGCUUAAGAAUAGAAAAGGGCACUGGAAGGUAAUAACUAAUGUCACAGUCACUGUGAAUGGAGAAUUCAACAACCACCCCAACAGGAAUGACACAGCCCUGUUAUAUACUCCUGGGGAUCCUUACAUACCACUGUAUGUAGCGGGAGCCUUGUUCUUCUCCUGCCUGUUUGUUACUGCCAUUGUCAUUGUCAUGAUGAAAAAUACCAAGAUUUCGCAAGCAGAAUCUCACACUCUGAGAAUGAAAAGAGAACAAGAUGGAGAGGAGACAAUUAACUCAGACUGCUCCCCAUAUGCUGAGGGCAGAGGAGAGGAUGAGGGGCUCUUCUCACUUCUGAAGCUGACUGAAGUGAGAGAUCCUGUGACUGCACAGAAUGGAGCUGAAGAACAUGCUGCUGUUGCUGUCGAGCCCAAUUCUGUAGUCAUGCUCAAUACUGAGUAUGAGGCCUUUGACCUCCAGGCCACUCAGACAUCAUCAACCUACCCCCUCAGGAUUGGAGCGAAAGUAUGAGUUACUAGCAGCCAAUAGUUACUCAUAUGAUGUAGAAAAGUGAGCUAAAGAUAAUGUUUUCAUGAUUGGUCUUUCAUAUUCGAUUUAGACCAGGAUUGGCGCGGGGCAGCCAGGGGUUUGUUUGGCCGGUGGGAGGGGUUGAGUGUUGGUUAAAAAAACAUUUCUGAUUCUUAUUGAUUGUACAGGUUGUGACUCAAUAAAAAACUUAGCCCACAAAAAUGAAGUUACAUUAAAGAGAGAACGAGGAUUUACUUUAUUUUUGAAUUGAAUGUUUUUGUGUUCAUUCAAGCUCUACUGAACAUUUCCACUAGAUGGUGCUAGUGCUCAGUCCUACAUUUGUGCUUACUGUUUCUCGGAUAUUGUGUCAUGUGUGAUUACCUAAUUAUUGUGUAACAUUGAAUAAACAUUGCAGAAAUAAAA